GCUCUCGUCGUUCAAUGGAUAGGACGCAAGAUUGCGGAUCUUGCAAUCCAGGUUCGACUCCUGGCGAGAGCA
rnacentral:tRNA from 1 species